UUCAUCCUCACAUGGACCAUCUGUCACCUGCUGCAGGGCAAAACCUACUGAGAACAACAGGCGGCUAUUCCGUGAAAGUACGCUGGCCUCUCACUGUUGUGGCCUCUCCUGUUGUGGAGCACAGGCUCCGGACACGCAGGCUCAGCGGCCAUGGCUCACAGGCCCAGCCACUCCACGGCAUGUGGGAUCUUCCCGGACCGGGGCACGAACCUGUGUCCCCUGCAUCAGCAGGUGGACUCCCCACCACUGCGCCACCAGGGAAGCCCCAAUGCGUUUAUUAUUUGUUGACUGUCUCCAUGUGGUGUCAGUGGCUCCUGGAAACUACAGAAUGAGUUGGUCCUCAAAUAGUAUGAUCUCACAGAAGGAGAGAAAACCAUCUCUUCUUCAGCA